AUUAACGCUAGCGGCAGGCAUAAUACAUGCAAGUUGAACGGCAGCACAGGUAGCAAUACUGGGUGGCGAGUGGCGCACGGGUGAGUAACGCGUAUCCAACCUUCCCAUAACUACGGGAUAACCCGUUGAAAGACGGCCUAAUACCGUAUGAUAUCGUUUGCUGACAUCAAAUAACGAUUAAAGGUUUAGCGGUUAUGGAUGGGGAUGCGUCUGAUUAGCUUGUUGGCGGGGUAACGGC
rnacentral:rRNA from 1 species